AUUUGAUUAAACUCCGUCGAGCUAAAAUGGCAACGCUGUUAAAACGGAAGUUCGUCUGCAUUCAGCACCCUGCCAGUCUGCCACUCUGAUGCUGUUCUGAAGAGAGCGUGAUUGAAACAGAUUGUGGCUGAGUGACCGGCCUUUACAAUAUACAUUAACCAGUCGUGGGGAGAGGAGUAGUUUUACAAAGUAGAGUGAAAUUGAAUUAAUUGCUUAAAAAGUUCAUUGACGUUUGAAGGUGUGCCAACAUUGGGGUUCACCACCGCAUCCCGCGUGAAUUUGUCUACCCUUUUCAACAAGCAGUUGGUGACCAAACAGCAGUAAAGUUAGACGGUUGGCUGACUGCAAUUUCAUGAUGGAGAAUGCCACUAUGUCUUCAACAGUAUAUCUAACAGGGACUACAAAGUCAGAUCGGUGUGAAUGCCUAGUCGCCCCUAUGGCUGUCGAUGUGGAUCAAUUAUUAGAAAUAAACACUGUUGAUCAAUUACAGUGAAGAAGCGAAACAAUGAGACCUUUCAUCUCCAUGGGAAUUGAACUAACCACCGACCUUGUAAGUCUGUUCUAUGGAACACGAGCUGCGGACAUCGAGAAACUAAGUAUGUAGGUAGAGAACCCGUUGGCUUUUGUCAAACUUGCUGGUCUAGAAGGAAACGUACCUCACUUGGAACACAUCUUUGUCUACAACCUCCAGCAAUAACAUUUCAACUUGGAAAGACUCGACGGCAUGAGCGAACUGAGCGUUUGUCAUCUAAUCACGGAUAGCUGUGAUGUUGAUUUUUUAAAACCAAAACUUUGUCGUUGGUUGAUCCCUUAUUUACGUCGACUGGAUACCCUUACAGCCUGAUAGUAUCAAGGAGUUAUUACGAGGCUUACUUACGUAUCAGGCUAGCCCGAUUGUCGUCGACGCAAACUUUCCAAGCCCUGGAAUGCAUAUGCCUGCCAGAAGAACGACCAACUUGUAGUGGACAUGACAUUUUUCGAUUGCUAGCCUGAGCGACCACCUGGCUCCAAAGCAGAUUCCCUACUUACCCAUUUACACCAUCAGUUGGAUUAUCUCCAAUCUCAUUUAGAGGCAGCUAAUGUUUUAUUGUUGUCUACGGCCGAGUUGCACCAAAUUGGCAACGCCAACGCCACUCAUCUUCCACCAAAGAACGUUUGGCGUUUUCUGCUGUCUGCACUCUGCUGUUCAUUUGCAAAUUUUCUCACAGGACUUCGAAAGGUGUAAUGAGAAUUUGCAGUUCGUCGCGUCAAACUUUGAAGAAAAUUUAUUGAAAUUGUAGAUUUAAUUUAUAGAUCUAGAAAAGUGGGAAGGACAUUCCAUUACCAGCACGUGAUCGAUUCUGGUCGACGGUUCGCCAGAUCUCCGUGGAUUACAACAAGUGGUUCCUAUUAAUGUCUUACCUCGGUAUUGUGAUGAAGUGAGAAUUGAUGGCAAUUGAAGUAAACCUUAUCUACUUACCUGUGUGGGAAGACUAUCAAACAGCAGGUGGUUGGUGUUUGUUGGAGCAGUCUCUGGUAAAGCAAUCUAAUGUGCUUGCUGUUCUCAGCUUUUCAUGGUGCUGACAUUUUGGCAUGGUUUCACUUGAUUUGUGUCUGCUCAGUGUUUGCGUGUAUUUUAUUGAUAAGUAUUUUUGGGUUGAUAUUCAGAGAUAACCAAAAAUGUUGAGAACAUAGAAGACCAUGUCCUUCCAAAGAAAUCUGUCAUUCUGUCCUCCAACCCACUAAAUGUGGUAUGGUAUCAUUUCAGAUUUGUUAAGUUAGCAUUCCCUUCUUGCAUCCUAAGAAAGGUUACCAUUUUAUUGUAACAUAGGCAUGUUUUAUUUUACCUAACUUCCGUUCUUGCCUCUUGGAAUGUGUUCAGGCAUGUUUAUUGUUCAUAUUCUCCAGACAGGUAUGCCCUCUGGGUAUGCCUUGCAUAAUGUAGCGCUUAUGUCCUCCGGCCGCCAGGUGGCGCGAGCGUCGCGUCAAAACUCAGACAUUUUCACAUUUUCCAGCCACCGACUGAAAAUGUCUUCCAAAUUCAUCAUGGUCAUAAAAACUAAUUGGCAAUGCGUAAUCCAUCCUCCUGUAAUUUCCUUUUGGCGAAAUAAUCUGAUCACGUGGGCCAAAACUGCUGUCCAUUUUGCCGAAUGUCGUCUAGGCGUCUAUUAUUACCUGUACCUGCUGUACGAGUUUGCUGUACGUCUCGUCCCGUGAAGAAGCACUUCAGACCAAUUUAAGGAUCAGACUGCUUUGCUGAUAUAUUGCAGAAAUUGAGAACUCAGCCAAGUCGGAGCUACAUUGCUGUCGUGGGACCACAUGCUACUAAAUUAGUUAAAGAUUUAAUAAAAAAAAAGUACUUGACUUGAAAUUGUGUCUCAUGUUGCCGAAAAUAUGUCUUCUCCUGCUUGCUCUACAUAGCAUCCUAUGAACAGAUAACAGCAUAGUGGACAAGGUUUCGAUAGCCAUUUGACGUUGACGGUGUCAAUGGAGAUGCUGAAUUUCAUAAUUCAACUCUGCCAAACAAUUUUUCACAUGGCCUGAAUCUGAAGAUUAAUUUAAUUUGAUUUUGUUUCUAGAUUAUGCUCCCAUAGCUGCUGUCUAAUUUGAUAUGUUGUUGCAGCCUGCUGGUAAAAGACUUUUUGCAUAAAUUGAACUGUGACUGUA
rnacentral:lncRNA from 1 species